rnacentral:lncRNA from 1 species
GAAAUUCACAAGGUCUCCUGCCUCUCUCGCUUGAGAGACCAGACGGCCAGUCUUCUCUCCCUGCCACACCUGAGACGCUCAGCUGGGAGCCCUGCAUUUCUCUGUCGAGGUCUCUAAUUCUA